rnacentral:lncRNA from 1 species
AUAAACAGAGAUGCCAAGGCACAAAGCCAAACUCAUAUGAGUCACACCUACAAAACAAAAGUUAGCACAAUAUAUAAUCCCACUCAAUCAAAUUUGAAUGAUCUUUGAGGCAUUGGUGCUUAACCUGAAACAACAGCUCAAUUGUAAGCUUACAAGACCACUAGGACUAGCCUAGGGUCAAAGAUGAAAGAAAGAAAAAAAAAAAGUCAAACAGCAAAGGAAGUCAACCCAAUUCAUAUUCAAA